rnacentral:rRNA from 1 species
UACCCUGAACGGUGGAUCACUUGGCUCGUGGGUCGAUGAAGAACGCAGCUAAUUGCGCGUCAACUUGUGAACUGCAGGACACAUGAACAUCGACAUUUCGAGCGCACAUUGCGGUCCACGGAUACGAUUCCCGGACCACGCCUGGCUGAGGGUCG